rnacentral:rRNA from 1 species
GUACGGGGGGGGCAAGCGUUGUUCGGAAUUACUGGGCGUAAAGGGCUCGUAGGCGGCCAACUAAGUCGGACGUGAAAUCCCUCGGCUUAACCGGGGAACUGCGUCCGAUACUGGAUGGCUUGAGUUCGGGAGAGGGAUGCGGAAUUCCAGGUGUAGCGGUGAAAUGCGUAGAUAUCUGGAGGAACACCGGUGGCGAAGGCGGCAUCCUGGACCGACACUGACGCUGAGUGAGCGAAAGCCAGGGGAGCCAAAGCGGG